AUUAUCAGACUAAUUCUCCACAGUGACAAAAAUAGCCAAGGUGUUUAUAUCUAACUACUUUUGUUGAAUGCAGAGAUGGAUUUGAUUUUAAAGACAUGGGGACACGCUAACUACGCCACUGUGCUUGUCCUUUCUUAUGUCUUCAUUUACACAUAUUUAGGUAAAUAUGUCCAUUCAUAUUAACUGCCUCUCAGCUGCCCUCUACUAAAACGUGAUAAAGAUGGUGAAAUUGCCUGAGGACAGCACCAACAUUAUUCUGCUGGAAAAGCUGAAAGAAGAAUGCAAAUGGAGGCAUGGCUUACCUCAAUAUCCCAUUACCAGCAAGGAACAUGAGGACUGCAGUGAUUCUUCUGUAUCUGAUUGUCCUCGGUAUCCUGGUAACAGUAGUAAUCAUAGCAGGCUGCAUACUCCAAUCCUUCCUAAUGGAACAGGAAAUUGAAACGCCACCCCCAACCAACAUCUACAUAAAAGAAAGGAAACAAUUGUGUGGACAAGUUAUGCUGACUUUGCAGAACAACAUUCAUGUGAAAUUGUGAACAUGCACAUUAACAACAACUGUUUAUUAAUAAUGUGUACCUGCUAACUUACUUGUUCUUCCUCCUCUAUGGAGUUGUAGGCUGACGGGAUAUUCUGAGAAACUUCCUGCAACGUGUCCCUUCCAACACUGCAUCUUCUAGGCCAUUUCCAGGCAAACAUCUUCUGCUCCCUGUGGAAGAGAUCAACAGUCCUGGCUCAAAAUCUUCCGGAUACUGGACCUGAAACUUGUGCCCCCAGUCCACUCAAUCAA